rnacentral:rRNA from 1 species
UGCAGUCGAGCGGAUGAGGGAGCUUGCUCCUGGAUUCAGCGGCGGACGGGUGAGUAAUGCCUAGGAAUCUGCCUGGUAGUGGGGGAUAACGUCCGGAAACGGGCGCUAAUACCGCAUACGUCCUGAGGGAGAAAGUGGGGGAUCUUCGGACCUCACGCUAUCAGAUGAGCCUAGGUCGGAUUAGCUAGUUGGUGGGGUAAAGGCCUACCAAGGCGACGAUCCGUAACUGGUCUGAGAGGAUGAUCAGUCACACUGGAACUGAGACACGGUCCAGACUCCUACGGGAGGCAGCAGUGGGGAAUAUUGGACAAUGGGCGAAAGCCUGAUCCAGCCAUGCCGCGUGUGUGAAGAAGGUCUUCGGAUUGUAAAGCACUUUAAGUUGGGAGGAAGGGCAGUAAGUUAAUACCUUGCUGUUUUGACGUUACCAACAGAAUAAGCACCGGCUAACUUCGUGCCAGCAGCCGCGGUAAUACGAAGGGUGCAAGCGUUAAUCGGAAUUACUGGGCGUAAAGCGCGCGUAGGUGGUUCAGCAAGUUGGAUGUGAAAUCCCCGGGCUCAACCUGGGAACUGCAUCCAAAACUACUGAGCUAGAGUACGGUAGAGGGUGGUGGAAUUUCCUGUGUAGCGGUGAAAUGCGUAGAUAUAGGAAGGAACACCAGUGGCGAAGGCGACCACCUGGACUGAUACUGACACUGAGGUGCGAAAGCGUGGGGAGCAAACAGGAUUAGAUACCCUGGUAGUCCACGCCGUAAACGAUGUCGACUAGCCGUUGGGAUCCUUGAGAUCUUAGUGGCGCAGCUAACGCGAUAAGUCGACCGCCUGGGGAGUACGGCCGCAACGUUAAAACUCAAAUGAAUUGA